rnacentral:rRNA from 1 species
AGAUUGAACGCUGGCGGCAUGCCUUACACAUGCAAGUCGAACGGUAGAGUAGCAAUACUUGAGAGUGGCGAACGGGUGAGUAAUAUAUAGGAACGUGCCCAGUCGUGGGGGAUAACGUAGAGAAAUUUACGCUAAUACCGCGUACGAUCUAAGGAUGAAAGCGGGGGACCGUAAGGCCUCGCGCGAUUGGAGCGGCUGAUAUCAGAUUAGGUUGCUGGUGAGGUAAAAGCUCACCAAGCCGACGAUCUGUAGCUGGUUUGAGAGAACGACCAGCCACACUGGGACUGAGACACGGCCCAGACUCCUACGGGAGGCAGCAGUGGGAAUUUGGACAAUGGGCGAAAGCCUGAUCCAGCAAUGCCGCGUGCAGGAAGAAGGCCUUCGGGUUGUAAACUGCUUUGUACGGAACGAAACGUCGUGCUUUAAUACAGUGGCUAAUGACGGUACCGUAAGAAUAAGCACCGGCUAACUACGUGCCAGCACGCCGCGGUAAUCGUGA